rnacentral:rRNA from 1 species
ACAGCAGCAGCCGCGGUAAAACGGAGGGUGCGAGCGUUAAUCGGAAUAACUGGGCGUAAAGGGCACGCAGGCGGUUAUUUAAGUGAGGUGUGAAAGCCCCGGGCUUAACCUGGGAAUUGCAUUUCAGACUGGGUAACUAGAGUACUUUAGGGAGGGGUAGAAUUCCACGUGUAGCGGUGAAAUGCGUAGAGAUGUGGAGGAAUACCGAAGGCGAAGGCAGCCCCUUGGGAAUGUACUGACGCUCAUGUGCGAAAGCGUGGGGAGCAAACAGGAUUAGAUACCCGCGUAGUCCCUGUCUCUUAUAC